rnacentral:sRNA from 1 species
AGUUGGGGCACGAGGUGUUUGGUCAUACUGAAUCCACAGUCAGGAAAUGGAGUUCAAUGAGCAUCGGCUUCUCCUUCCUCAUAUCAUCUAAUAUGUUGGAGAAUCCUGAUAUUAAGCACAGAUACCUGGUCUUAUUUGGACGACGACCGUGGACAGAGCUUCCAGCGAGCCCUGCAUGACUCAGAGAAUAAGUCCCGAUCUUUCUUCCAACCCUAUGGGCUAUACACUUGAGUAUAUUAGAAUGAGUUAAGUCAUCUACUAAGAGAGCUUGUCUCCUGAGUGAGACUUGGCCAAACCAACAGAUGAGCUGUGAUAGCUCCAGAAUAUUAAGGGUUUGGAGGCAGUAUGUUGACAUAAUUCAAUCAUUAGAGAAACAUAAGAGCUAAGAAAAAAUGAGAGCCCGAGAAGAAAGGAGUUGGGAGGUGUUUCUGUAAACCAGUGCUGAAUCUGAGCUUUGCAGGCUAAAAAGAAGGGUCAAGACUUCCAAGAGAAAAGAACUCACCUAGCAGGAUGUAUGAAUGAAAGGAGAUGGGUCACUAAACAAAUCAAUUUAUCUGACAUAAACGAGCCUAGUGGAUAGACAAAAUAAGACCAGGGUAAGUUUCCACCAUUCUGGCCUCUUGUAGAUCACAUAGAAAGGACUUCGUUCAUGUGUUUAUCCAUAAAUAAAUCUUACUUUCUUGUUGAGCAGAUAUUUGGCAAGAUAGAGAAAAUAAAGCAGGAAAUGGAAUGGAAGUAUAGGAAGCAUAGGGGCCUAGGAGUUAGCUUUUUUUAUUGAUGAUAGAUUAUACUGGUUAUGAUUUCCGCCCCCUCAACUCCUUCCA